AAGCCAUGUCCCAUCUAUCUGCUGUCUCUUGAGUGUUCUUCCAGCUCCCUGCCCUCCAUCCACCCUCUCCCCUCAGACCUCAACUGGGGCUUGAACCUGACAUUUGACAUAGUCAGCAGGAUAAGGUGAGUGGGCCUUAAGCCCCUGAGGCUCCCGGGUUGGCUAUGUGGCUGCAGAAUGGGUUGUGGUACCCGGUGGCAGUGGUGCUACUAGGAUGGGCCCCAAAGGAAACAUGGGAGGUAGUGGAGGGGUCUCCCAUGAGUGUGGAGAAAGCACUGAAGGAGCUGGAAGCACAUAGCACUGAGAAGAAAUGCACCUUCACUGGCAGAGUCGGAUGGGUGUUUCUGACUGAACUGUGGGAAGUACAUGUUCAGUCCCUGCGGGAUGCUGCACAGAUUUAGAAGUGGUGGCACUCUUCUGGCGGCAACAUUUAGCAGCAUGUGGUUGGGCUGUCAAUGAAUCCAAGGUCCAAGGGCCUGGAUUGUCUACCAAAUUCUUGGGAGUUAUUUGGUCAGGUUGGCAUGCUCCAACAUCAUUGUGGACAGGGCCCACACCUAUGGCAAAGUGACCAAUGUCUCCAACUGUUGGAUCUGCACUGUCCUUCCAGCAGCAGCUGUAGAUGGCCUGCCGUGGCAUGUACAUUCAGCUUCUGUGAAAAACUGGAUGAGGCUAGAGACUUGGGGUCUCAUGGACAAUGGUUGGGAUGCAACAUGGCAAACUUUGGAUAGGGGGCAUUGCAAAACCUGCAUUGCAAAAAAUGCCUGCCCCCUGGCUGACCCAUAGCAUUCAUGAUGAAUGGGGCUGGCUAAUGAGAGAACACAUGGUGCCCCCAUUGCAGGUACCAUAAUAUAUAGAUCAACACUGGGGUAAAGUCACUGUGGGAUGGUUGCCCACCGUGGCCUGUAAAAACAUAACACAUGUCACCACACCAAGGCUGUGGUGGAACAAGCUGCCUUACCGAGGCUGAGCCCUGAUGGACUUUGUAUCCCUGGGAGUUUAUGGGUCUGAGGGGACACGGGAUGGCCAUAUCUGCCAGCCAAUUGGACUGGAUGUUUUACUUGGCGGUGCCCUUAUGUGCCUGCCACCGUACUUCCCUCAUUGCCUAGGUGCCUGCACAACUGGAAGGUGCUACAUUCCUGGUUUUCGCCAGUGUGGUGGGCCCCCUGGUGGCUCUACCCCUUAGCAAUAACUAUCAUUGGAGCAGUUUUCAUCACUGUAGAAAUGCAGAUUACAGCCCUUGCAUAACACACAGUUCAGGUCCUGAAUUACACCCGAGUUGCCCUCCUUCUAUUAAUUGAUGAGGUUGAUCAAACCAGGAAGGUAGUACUGCAAAACUGGAUGGCCUUAGACAUAGUAACAGCUGACCAAGGUGGCACCUGUGCCCUUACAGGGUCACAAUGUUGUACAUAUAUCCCUGACAACCACCAGAACAUAAUAGCAGCUUUACAAGGGGUGUUACAGGAGAUUAAGGUGAUUGAGUGCCUUAUUGAUGACCCCCUACAGAGAUGGUGGGCGUCUCUGGGCUCUAACCUACAUUGGGCCCUAAUAAUAAUGGGUAGUUAUAGCAGGAAUAUUAGUGAUAGGCUGUUGCUCCCUGUAUUGUUGCUGUGGCCUAUGGGUUCAGGGUGCCAUCAUAUGUGCACAGGUCCCCACUAAGAGGACUCCCCCGGCCUAGGGGAUGGAUUGUAAGGAACAUGGCUGUACUGCAGCCAGGCAGGCAUAGGCCGAGGUAAACAUCCUGCAUGACUCAGUGGGAUUGGAGUGCAGGUGCACAAUUCCAUGCAUUAUAUAACCACAGCUAUGUAGCCAUAACAUGGGAAGGCUCAUCACCUGGCUCUGAGCCACUAUUGUCUGUGAGGUGUAUAAAUGCAGGACUGACACUGUGAAAGAGCUGCUGAAUAAAGCCAUGUCCCAUCUACCUGCUGUCUCUUGAGUGUUCUUCCAACUCCCUGUUCCCCGUCCACUCAGUCCCUUGGGACCUCGGCUGGGGCUUGAAGAUGACAAUAUAGUUCCUCAAUACUUUUUAAAAGAAUAAAUGAACAUAUGAAUGAUGAAAGACAAAUAACACUAUUUUAG
rnacentral:lncRNA from 1 species